GCAACGAGCGCAACCCCUCGCUGCCAGUUGCCAACGGGUGAAGCCGGGCACUCUGGCGGGACUGCCAUCGACAAGAUGGAGGAAGGUGGGGAGUGACGUCAAGUCAUCAUGGCCCUUACUGUCCAGGGCGGACACACGUGCUACAAUGGCCGGCACAGCGGGAAGCGAGGCAGUGAUGCCAAGCGGAUCCCUUAAAGCCGGUCUCAGUUCGGAUUGAAGUCUGCAACUCGACUUCAUGAAGCUGGAAUCGCUAGUAAUCGCAGAUCAGCCAAGCUGCGGUGAAUACGUUCCCGGGCCUU
rnacentral:rRNA from 1 species